rnacentral:rRNA from 1 species
GAUAACCACUGGAAACGGUGGCUAAUACCGCAUAACGUCGCAAGACCAAAGUGGGGGACCUUCGGGCCUCACGCCAUAGGAUGAACCCAGAUGGGAUUAGCUAGUAGGUGGGGUAAAGGCUCACCUAGGCGACGAUCUCUAGCUGGUCUGAGAGGAUGACCAGCCACACUGGAACUGAGACACGGUCCAGACUCCUACGGGAGGCAGCAGUGGGGAAUAUUGCACAAUGGGGGAAACCCUGAUGCAGCCAUGCCGCCUGUACUCAAGAAGGNCCUUUCGGGUUUGUNAAAGAACUUUCAGCCGGGNUUGAGGAAGGCNUAGUGGGCUUAAUACCCCCAUCAGGAUUGANCGUUAACCCGCNAGAAGAAGCACCGGCCUNAACUCCGNUGCCAGCAGCCUGCGAAAAAUACGGAAGGGUCCAAGCCCUAAUUCGGAAGUAACUGCCCGUAAAGCGCACGUCAAGUCAAUUNCUGUAAAGNUCAGACGUGANAAUUCCCCNGGGCUCAAUCCCGGGAACUCAGCAUUUGAAAACUGGCAGGCCUUGAGUCUCGNAUAGAGAGGGGGUAGAAUUCCCAGGGUGUAGCGCUGAAAUGCGUAGAGAUCUGGAGGAAUACCAGGUGGCCAACGCCGGCCCCCAUGGCACGAAGACUGACGCUCAGGUGCGUAAAGCCUGGGGAGCAAACAGGAUUAGAUACCCUGGUAGUCCACGCCGUAAACGAUGUCUACUUGGAGGCUGAGGUCAUGAACCGUGGCUUCCGGAGCUAACGCGUUAAGUAGACCGCCCGGGGGAGUACGGCCGCAAGGUUAAAACUCAAAUGAAUUGACGGGGGCCCGCACAAGCAGUGGAAGCAUAUGGUUUAAUUCGAUGCAACGCGAAGAACCUUACCUGGUCUUGACAUCCACAGAAUUCUCCGGAAAACGGAAAAGUGCCUUCGGGAACUGUGAAACAGGUGCCUGCAUGGAUGUCCUCAGCUNGNAUUGUGAAAUNUUNGGNUAAGUNCCGCAACGNGCGCAANNCUUAUCCUNUGGAGCCNGCNNNUCANUCNNGGANUCAAGGNNGNGUGCCNGUGANAAACNGGAGGAANGUNGNGNCGUCGUCANGUCNUCUUGNCCCUUNCNANCACGGCUACNCCNGUGCCACAAUGGNACAUACAAAGNGUANCGACCUCGCGNGAGCAAGANGACCUCAUAAAUUGCNUCGUAGUCNGNAUNNNAGUCUACUANUCGACUCCGUGAAGUCAUGAAUAG